UAAAAAUACCAUACAUACUUAUAAAAUUCAUUUUAAAAGUUAAGUAUUAUAAAGGAGAAUGACAGCAUACCAUGAGUGAGUAUAAAAUAGGGAUUUAACCUAGUCAGAUGAAUCAGGAAAGACUUCCUUAAGGAUAGGAAGUAAAAAAAAAAAAAAAAAAAGGAUAGGAAGUGAGCUAAGUUCUGCACAACAGGUAAGAUUUAUCUUGGCAAGGAUACAUAGCAAAGAGUGUGGGCAAAGGCGGGAGGUGCAUUUUGAUUUCAAGGACCUGAAAGAGGACCCAAGUAGCUGACGUGAGAGAGCAAGGAGAAGCACAAUAGGAGAUAAGGCUGAGAAGAAUAAUUUUGGCUAUUUUAGAUCCUUUGCAUGACCAUAUAGGUUUAAGAGUCGACUUGUCAAUUUCUACAAAAAAAAAAAAAAAGCCUUCUGGAAUGUUAAUUAGCUUACCAUUGAAACCAGAGACCAAUUUGUGAAGAUGACAGUUUAACAGUAUGGGAUCAUCCAAUACAGAAACAUGACACAGAGAGAAGGCAGAGACAUAGGCAGAGGGGGAAGCAGGCUCCUCGCAGGAAGCCCAAUGUUGGACUUGAUCCUGGGACUCUGGGACCACACCUUGGGCCAAAGGCAGACACUCAAUCACUGAGCCACCCAGGCAUCACUUUUUCUAGGUUUUAAAGUAGAAACUGAGAACCCUAAGGAAAGCACAAGCCUCAUAUCAUAAGGCCUGAACGUGGUGCUCUAUGAAGAGAAUGACUGAAAGAAAAGUUAAAGAUUCUGCUCAUGAACCUAUCACUAUGUAAGCAACAGACAAUUCCAAUGACUUCUAACUUUGAUGACUGUAGCUGAGACCAAAAGCUGCAUUCUGUAAACUCGAAUGAUUCUCUGCAGGAAGAUUUUUUAUCCUGACUGACAAUGAUUUGGUAAAGAAAUACCUGAUCUUGGAUGGAUUACUUUGAGAAGUGUUCUUUCCAAAUUCCUUAGUGAAUUUAACUUCUGGAGGGAAGCCUCAGUGGGGGAUCUCACUUUCCUACCAUCUUAUGUCCUCCUUCCUUAAUAGUGCUUACUGGGAUCCCCAACCAAAUGAUAUCUUAUUCUUGAAUCCUUGUCUUGGGAUCUGCUUCUGGGGAUUGCAAGCUAAAACAGUGGUCAUCUUUCUUUCUUCAGAUAGAUAAGAAGCUUUCAAAUUAAACUCACUUUAUAUUUUGGGUCAGGUCAGAUUCUUAGGCAGGGUAAAUUUCUCUAGUUUCUGAAUGGGAAAAAAGUCAAUGUGAUGAUCCAUUAUUCUUCUGAGUGAGAGGAUGGAGCUAUUGUUCAUGUAGUUAGGAAAAGAUUAAUCUUCCAGCAGUUAAAAUCUUAAAAUAAAAAAAAAUUUACUGUUAGAUUAAUUUUGUGGCUACCCAGUUAGUUUUGUAUGGGUUGUGCGAGAAUGUGGAGCAAUACAUUUAAUGAUAAUAUUUUAGCCAAUACUUUUUCUAAUAACUAGACUCUAAGUCAUAUAUGCAUUAUCACUCAAAUAUAAACAAAUUUCAGUCCUUUCACUAAAAUAGACCAUGGAGGGACACCUGGGUGGCUCAGAGGUUGAGGUCUGCCUUCAGUUCAGGGCAUGAUACCAGAGUUCCUGGAUCGAUCCCACAUAGAAUCCCACAUAGAAUCCCAUAUUGGGCUCCCUGCAAGGAGUCUGCUUCUCCCUCUGCCCAUGUCUCUGCCUUCUCUCUGUGUCUUUCAUGAAUAAAUAAAUAAAAUCUUAAAAAAAAAAAGACCAUGGUAAUUUCCAUAAAUUCUAAUGGACUUUAUCCUCCAACUGGUCAACUAUUCUUGCAAGUCCCCUUACCUCUUGGGAGUAAUACUCCAUAUGGAGCCCAGGUUAGCCCAGGGAUUAAGGUGGCUGGAACUUAAAUCCUGAGUUCUCUACAUUCCCAUUUUAACUUCAUAUAAUAUGAUUAAAUACUGCUUCAAGAACCUCAUGUAGAAAGGGUUAUUAUUACAUAAAUGGAGCUGUUGUGAUUAAUGAGGUGAUAUAUUUAUUUUAAGUAGUUGGUCUAGCUCCUGGCACAUAGUAUAAUUCCUCAAUCAUUGCUGAACAUUAUAAUGAUUAUUGAAGUAGAUUCAUUCUUCAAUUGAAAUAAGGAGUGAAAUACAGCACUUAAUUGCCUAAGGGUCACUCACUUUCCUGCCCCAAAUUUCACAAUGACAAAGAAGGCCUCUUUCUUUUCUUCUCUUCUUAUAUUGUUGAUCCCCAUGUGAAGCAGUGGAAGUGGAUAGCAAUCAUCAGAUAGAUAAAUCCUGGCAGGCUUUUUGGAGCAUUCUGAAUGUUCAUUCUAGAAAGACAGCAUGCCUCAGGGACAGAUGUGAGAUUUACAUGGCACUGUCUUCACUUUUCCAUUUCCCAUGUUUUUCUUUUUCCAAGGGCCAAAGGCAUCCUUGACUUAACCUGUGCUUUUUUUUUUUUUCCCCAUAAUAUGCUAUGUUUAGUCAUAGCCAGCAUUACCCUUCCAUCUAAACCACGAAGCAUGGCCAAAGAGAUGAUAGAAAUAAAAGUGAUUCAUUAAUGGGAAGCAAAGAGGAAAGCAAGUUCAACCUGUCAUCCCUCCCAUUUUUGUGGGAAAAUAUGGAAAUAAAGUGUGGUCAUAUUGUACUUCUCUAUUUAAGUAUUGGAAUUUAAGUUAAACUUGAAUUAAAAAUCACAUUUUUCUGUUCCCCACUUCACUCUUUGUAUCUUAUCAAUGGUGAAUGUUGACCACUGUCAGCCCCUAUUACUGUAAUACAUAUAAUAUAUGCUAUCUUUUUUUUUAAUUUUUUAUUCAUUUAUGAUAGUCACAGAGAGAGAGCGAGAGCGAGAGAGAGA